rnacentral:rRNA from 1 species
AACGAACGCUGGCGGCAGGCUUAACACAUGCAAGUCGAACGCCCCGCAAGGGGAGUGGCAGACGGGUGAGUAACGCGUGGGAAUCUACCCAGAUCUUCGGAACAACUGAGGGAAACUUCAGCUAAUACCGGAUACGCCCUACGGGGGAAAGAUUUAUCGGUUCUGGAUGAGCCCGCGUUGGAUUAGCUAGUUGGCGGGGUAAUGGCCUACCAAGGCGACGAUCCAUAGCUGGUCUGAGAGGAUGAUCAGCCACACUGGGACUGAGACACGGCCCAGACUCCUACGGGAGGCAGCAGUGGGGAAUAUUGGACAAUGGGCGAAAGCCUGAUCCAGCCAUGCCGCGUGAGUGAUGAAGGCCUUAGGGUUGUAAAGCUCUUUCAGUGGGGAAGAUAAUGACGGUACCCACAGAAGAAGCCCCGGCUAACUUCGUGCCAGCCGCCGCAGUAA